AGGGGUGUAGUUCAAUUGGUAGAGCACCGGUCUCCAAAACCGGGUGUUGGGAGUUCAAAUCUCCCCACCCCUG
rfam:Candidatus Hamiltonella defensa 5AT (Acyrthosiphon pisum), complete genome.